GAACGCUGGCGGCGUGCUUAACACAUGCAAGUCGAACGAUGAAGACCGUGCUUGCACGGUUGGAUUAGUGGCGAACGGGUGAGUAUCACGUGAGUAACCUUCCCUUAACUCUGGGAUAAGCCCGGGAAACUGGGUCUAAUACCGGAUACGACCAGUCCUCGCAUGGGGUGCUGGUGGAAAGAUUUAUCGGUUUUGGAUGGACUCGCGGCCUAUCAGCUUGUUGGUGAGGUAAAGGCUCACCAAGGCGAUGACGGGUAGCCGGCCUGAGAGGGUGACCGGCCACACUGGGACUGAGACACGGCCCAGACUCCUACGGGAGGCAGCAGUGGGGAAUAUUGCACAAUGGGCGAAAGCCUGAUGCAGCGACGCCGCGUGCGGGAUGACGGCCUUCGGGUUGUAAACCGCUUUCAGCAGGGAAGAAGCGCAAGUGACGGUACCUGCAGAAGAAGCGCCGGCUAACUACGUGCCAGCAGCCGCGGUAAUACCGUAGGGCGCGAGCGUUAUCCGGAAUUAUUGGGCGUAAAGAGCUCGUAGGCGGUUUGUCACGUCUGCUGUGAAAGCCCGGGGCUCAACCCCGGGUGUGCAGUGGGUACGGGCAAGACUAGAGUGCAGUAGGGGAGACUGGAAUUCCUGGUGGUAGCGGUGAAAUGCNCAGAUAUCAGGAGGAACACCNAAUGGCGAAGGCAGGNUCUCUGGGCUGNUACUGACGCUGAAGANCGGAAAGGCAUGGGGGAGCGAACAGGGAUNAGAUACCCUGGGNAGGNCCAUGNCGGNNAANGGNUGGGCACNUANGNGGGGGGNAACAANUCCACGGUUUGCGNGNCNGNAGCUNAACGCANNUGAGNNGCCCNCCNGGGGAAGNNCA
rnacentral:rRNA from 1 species